GGCUCAGGAUGAACGCUAGCUACAGGCCUAACACAUGCAAGUCGAGGGGCAGCGGGAUUGAAGCUUGCUUCAAUUGCCGGCGACCGGCGCACGGGUGAGUAACGCGUAUCCAACCUUCCGUACACUCAGGGAUAGCCUUUCGAAAGAAAGAUUAAUACCUGAUGGUAUGAUGAGAUUGCAUGAUAGCAUCAUUAAAGAUUUAUCGGUGUACGAUGGGGAUGCGUUCCAUUAGGUAGUAGGCGGGGUAACGGCCCACCUAGCCGACGAUGGAUAGGGGUUCUGAGAGGAAGGUCCCCCACAUUGGAACUGAGACACGGUCCAAACUCCUACGGGAGGCAGCAGUGAGGAAUAUUGGUCAAUGGGCGAGAGCCUGAACCAGCCAAGUAGCGUGAAGGAUGACUGCCCUAUGGGUUGUAAACUUCUUUUAUAAAGGAAUAAAGUCGGGUAUGGAUACCCGUUUGCAUGUACUUUAUGAAUAAGGAUCGGCUAACUCCGUG
rnacentral:rRNA from 1 species